UACGGGAGGCUGCAGUCGAGGAUCAUUCGCAAUGGGCGAAAGCCUGACGAUGCGACGCUGCGUGGAGGAUGAAGGCCCUCGGGUCGUAAACUCCUGUCAUGAGGGAAAAGGCGAGGGGAGCGAACACCUCCCUUAGUUGAUGGUACCUCAAGAGGAAGGGACGGCUAACUCUGUGCCAGCAGCCGCGGUAAU
rnacentral:rRNA from 1 species